rnacentral:rRNA from 1 species
GAUGAACGCUGGCGGCGUGCCUAAUACAUGCAAGUCGAGCGAACGGACGAGAAGCUUGCUUCUCUGAUGUUAGCGGCGGACGGGUGAGUAACACGUGGAUAACCUACCUAUAAGACUGGGAUAACUUCGGGAAACCGGAGCUAAUACCGGAUAAUAUUAUGAACCGCAUGGUUCAAAAGUGAAAGACGGUCUUGCUGUCACUUAUAGAUGGAUCCGCGCUGCAUUAGCUAGUUGGUAAGGUAACGGCUUACCAAGGCAACGAUGCAUAGCCGACCUGUGAGGGUGAUCGGCCACACUGGAACUGAGACACGGUCCAGACUCCUACGGGAGGCAGCAGUAGGGAAUCUUCCGCAAUGGGCGAAAGCCUGACGGAGCAACGCCGCGUGAGUGAUGAAGGUCUUCGGAUCGUAAAACUCUGUUAUUAGGGAAGAACAUAUGUGUAAGUAACUGUGCACAUCUUGACGGUACCUAAUCAGAAAGCCACGGCUAACUACGUG